rnacentral:rRNA from 1 species
GACGUAGGGCGCGAGCGUUGUCCGGAUUUAUUGGGCGUAAAGAGCUCGUAGGCGGCUUGUUGCGUCGACCGUGAAAACCCGGGGCUUAACUCCGGGCCUGCAGUGGGUACGGGCAGACUAGAGUGCGGUAGGGGAGACUGGAAUUCCUGGUGUAGGCGGUGAAAUGCGCAGAUAUCAGGAAGAACACCCGUGGCUAAGGCGGCUCUCUAGUACGGUACUGACGCUGAGACGCGAAAGCGUGGGGAGCGAACAGG